rnacentral:tRNA from 1 species
GCCUCCGUAGCAUAGUCGCUAUUGCGUGCGCUUGGUAAGCGCAAGGUCGUGGGUUCAAAUCUCAUCGGAGGCU